GACAGAGGGUGCAAACGUUGUUCGGAAUUACUGGGCGUAAAGCGCGUGUAGGCUGCUUGGAAAGUCGGAUGUGAAAGCCCUGGGCUCAACCUAGGAAGUGCAUUCGAAACUUCCAAGCUCGAGUUUCGGAGAGGAAGGCGGAAUUCUCGGUGUAGAGGUGAAAUUCGUAGAUAUCGAGAGGAACAUCGGUGGCGAAGGCGGCAUCCUGGACCGGCAUUGACGCUGAGGAGCGAAAGCCAGGGGAGCAAACGGG
rnacentral:rRNA from 1 species